rnacentral:lncRNA from 1 species
AGUUACUAAGCGGGACAAAGGCAGAAGGGGAAAAGAAAAGAGGAGGAAAAAAAAGAAAGAAAGAAAGGAAGAAAACGCAAACGGCGGUUACUGACAGGCUGGGCGAGCGCUCGGGGGCUCAAACUGCCUGGAGACAGGCGGGGCUCCUGCUGAGGCUUGGUCCGCCCGGACGAGUAAGGAGAGGAGCCAGGGAGGACCUGCUGGCGUGAGACGCCUCUGCCCGGUAGAAGAUACUGGAAGAUCAACUCUAAUUUGUGGCUGCCUUCCCAGCAGUCUCUACUUCAGCAUAUCUGGGAGCCAGAAGCACUCAAGUUUGAUAACUCAAAAGACAGAACAAUCAGUCAAGGGGUAGAGGCUACCUUCCAUUCUGCUCAUCUUACACUUCUUGGAAAGGAGACAUUCGGUGAAGAUCACUACUAUUCUCCAAACUUCAUUCGGGACCCUAUUCCUUCCCUGUUGAUGUCAGUGUGUGAAAUUCUAAAUUAUGUCAUGGGUGUAUACGUUCAAAAGCAAUAUAUUUUCAAAUAAACAAAAAA